rnacentral:sRNA from 1 species
AAAUUAUAUGUGAUUUUAAUAAAAACCAUGUAUUACUAAAAAAUAAGAAUAUAUUUUUAAAGAAAUCACGUGUGAUCUUAAUAAAAAACGUGUAUUACUAGAAAAUAUCAUGAUAAGAAAAUAUAUUAAACUGAAUAGAAUGUUUUUUCCAAAAAAUACCAUGUGUUUUUAUGAGUACUAUAUAAUAAGAGAAAAUAACAAGAUAAAAAGAGGAUAUUAUGUUAUCGCAUGUAUUUCAGAAAAAACCAUGUUACAAAGAAUAUUUAUGUAAUAACAUGUGUUCUCCAACAUAUUUCCGAUAAGGUAUUGUGACUCAAGGUUAUUUUGUACAUUCUUUUUGAAUCCAUAGUCAUUUAUUAUAAAUUCUCUAGUAGUUAUUGAUAAGUUUACCACAAGUGGAUAAGUUGUAGACUUGUAGCCUCGUAGGCAACACCGAGGACUAGUGGACAAGUU